UGAUGUAGCACGCCGCGUGGAGGAUGACACAUUUCGGUGCGUAAACUCCUUUUAUUAGGGAAGAUAAUGACGGUACCUAAUGAAUAAGCACCGGCUAACUCCGUGCCAGCAGCCGCGGUAAUA
rnacentral:rRNA from 1 species